rnacentral:rRNA from 1 species
GUCCACGCCGUAACGUUGGCGCUAGGUGUGGGAACCUUCCACGUUCUCCGUGCCGUAGCUAACGCAUUAAGCGCCCGCCUGGGAGUACGGCCGCAAGGCUAAACUCAAAGGAAUUGACGGGCCCGCACAAGCGGCGGAGCAUGCGGCUUAAUUCGAUGCAACGCGAAGAACCUUACCUAGGCUUGACAUAUACCGAAACUCAUAGAGAUAUGGGUCCGCAAGGGCGGUAUACAGGUGGUGCAUGGUUGUCGU